rnacentral:rRNA from 1 species
UACGAAGGGGGCUAGCGUUGCUCGGAAUCACUGGGCGUAAAGGGUGCGUAGGCGGGUCUUUAAGUCAGGGGUGAAAUCCUGGAGCUCAACUCCAGAACUGCCUUUGAGACUGCAUCGCUAGAAUCAUGGAGAGGUAAGUGGAAUUCCUGGUGUAGCGGUGAAAUGCGCAGAUAUCAGGAAGAACACCAAUGGCGAAAGCAGCGCUCAGGGACGGUACUGACGCUGAGGCGCGAAAGCGUGGGGAGCGAACAGG